rnacentral:lncRNA from 1 species
UUUUUUUUUUUUUUUUUUUUUCUUAUUCAUCUUGUAAAUUCUGUACACUUGUUUUUAAAUAGUACUCAUGGAUAUAUAUACAUAUAUGUUAUAUAUAUUCAUUUGGAUUUACUAUGGAUAUAAAAAAAAAAAAAUAAAAUAAUUCGUUUUUGUAAAAAAAAAAUCCGUUUUUGUAAAAAAAAAAAUCCGUUUUUGUAAAUAAAGUUUUGAAUGUAUCAUAUACUUAUUAUUUUCACCAUUAUUGGAAAUUCAAAUGUACAUAUUAUUUACAUAAAAUAUGUACCGUAUAUUAUUCUUUAAGUAAUUUUCAAAAUUAUUUUAUUUCUUUUUCCUUUUUUUUUUUUUUUAACGAUUUUGCAUUGAAAUUAUGUUGUAGUUAACUAAUUAGGUAUAUAUAAAUGUUUUCAUGAACGUAUAUAUAUAUAUAUAUAUUACUUUGAUGAAAUGUCAGUUUGUUCAUUUUAUUAUGUAUGGUUUGGUACAUAAAAUCGGAAAGUCACUCGACUUGUACGUCUUCUUCUUCUUUUUUUUUUUUUUUUUUUUUUUUUUAAAUAAAAAAAAACAUACAAAAAAUUUAAACUUUAAUAACUAAACGAAAUAAUACAUAUUUUUUUAUAUAUACAUAUAUUUGUGUAUGUGUAUAUACAUAUUUGUGCAUGUUCAAUUAUUACUCUCAAUAUAAAAAAAUGGUGCAACAGUUUUUUUUAAAAAAGCAAUAAAAAGUAUUUGGACAUAAGCCAACGUUUCUUUAUGAUCAUUAUAACUAUACGGUGUUUUUUUUUCUUUUUUCAUUUUCUACGCUAGUAUAUAUAACACUUCUAAAGUACGCGUGUAUAUAUAUAUUACAAAUGCACAUAUGUAUAUUAAUGUAUUAAAUAAAUGUCUUUAAAGUGAAAAUGUCUAGUGAUGACAGCGGCAAAAAAAAUAUUGGAAAUAUGAAGUUUGUGAAAACAGUUAUAUAUAAUCAGAAAAUUACUAUCGAAGGCAUAAAAGAAAUAGAAAAAGAUGCUAGGAGUGAAAAAGAAAUAAUACAAAAUAGGAGACUUGAAGAGUUACCAGAAUUUAAAUUAGAAAAGUAUAGCUCCAAUUUAUAUGAAAAUUCUGGCUUAAAACCAAAAGAUCACUCAUUAGCAAAAGAGGAGGAUGAUAACAACAUUAACACUUAUGGCUUACCAAUUUUAACAGAAGAGAGUGUAGAAUAUUAUGAUGCAUAUUCAAAAUAUAAUCAAUAUAGUGUAGAAAAUAUUCAGAAGAGAGAAAAAGAAAUUCAAAAUGAAUUUAAAGAAGCAAUUAAAAAUUACAUAAAAAAAAAAGAACAAGUAGAAGAAAAAACAAAUGUAGAAUUACUAAAAGAAGAAAGUACUGCUAAAAAUUUACAAGAAAUAAAAAAAAGUAUUAAUAAAAAAAAAGAAAAUAAAAUAAACAAACUCAAGCCCAAUAUUAUCAAAACAAUAAUUAAAACAAAAAAAAAACAAGACUUUAAAUUAAAUAACAAACAAAGUGAUGUUACAAAAUAUAAAGAUGUAAAAAAUGGAAAAAAAAAUCCUAUCCCAUUGUCACUUGGCUAUUCAGAUAAUUCGGAUGACUAGGCAGAUAGCUAAACCACAUGGAUAUAUUACAUACGCAAUUACAUCUGCACAUAUAUAUAUAUAUAUAUAUGUACAUAUAUCAUACAUUUUUAACUUAUUUAAACAUGUGCUUCUUCUUCUUUUUUUUUUUUUUUUU